UGGGGAAUAUUGCACAAUGGAGGAAACUCUGAUGCAGCAACGCCGCGUGAGCGAUGAAGGCCUUCGGGUCGUAAAGCUCUGUCCUCAAGGAAGAUAAUGACGGUACUUGAGGAGGAAGCCCCGGCUAACUACGUGCCAGCAGCCGCGGUAAUACGUAGGGGGCUAGCGUUAUCCGGAUUUACUGGGCGUAAAGGGUGCGUAGGCGGUCUUUCAAGUCAGGAGUGAAAGGCUACGGCUCAACCGUAGUAAGCUCUUGAAACUGCAAGACUUGAGUGCAGGAGAGGAGAGUGGAAUUCCUAGUGUAGCGGUGAAAUGCGUAGAUAUUAGGAGGAACACCAGUUGCGAAGGCGGCUCUCUGGACUGUAACUGACGCUGAGGCACGAAAGCGUGGGGAGCAAACAGG
rnacentral:rRNA from 2 species